rfam:Leucosporidium creatinivorum strain 62-1032 BCR35scaffold_109, whole genome shotgun sequence.
GGCCGCUUGGCCCAGUGGCAAGGCGUUCCCCUCCUAAGGGAAAGAUCGGCGGUUCGACCCCGCCAGUGGUCG